rnacentral:rRNA from 1 species
UGCGUAGGCCGCUAAGCGUGUCAGGUGUGAAAUCUCGGGGCUCAACCUCGAAACUGCGCCUGAAACUGUUUAGCUUGAGUAUUGGAGAGGUAAGCGGAAUUUCUGGUGUAGCGGUGAAAUGCGUAGAUAUCAGAAGGAACACCAAUGGCGAAGGCAGCUUACUGGACAAUAACUGACGCUGAGGCACGAAGCGUGGGUAGCGAAAG